AUUCUUCUGGCAGAUCAAAUGCAAUAAAUUUAGAAUUUAUUAAUACAUUGUUAAAUAUGUGGGGAAUA
rnacentral:tRNA from 1 species